CUGAGGCCAAGGGUUAGCCGUUUCCUAGGUGAGCUGGCUCCCGAGGCAGCCAUGGUUCCUCUUGCCCAACUGUCCACGCCCCAAGGCCCGCAGCCCUCUCGUGACUCAGGAGGCUGCCUGGAGGAGGAGGAUUUGAGGAGAGGAAGACGCAGGGCCUCGGGAGACCUGGCCUGUGGACAGUCAUGCCUCUGAAUGGACACUUCCCUGACGGGACGGCCCGGGCAGAGGGUCACCCCUGGAUGAGCUCGGGACUCAGGUCCCUCUGGAGAGCUGAGGAUUCAAGGCAAAAUUUGGUUCAUGAAUUUGUGCUACCCAGGUCACCUGUUUUGGACUCAGACAGUGCAUAAUUGGCUGCAAAGUACAGGAAUACAAAGGUCUCCAUCCUGCAUGACAGAGUAGAAAUGUGAGACACAGAGGUGCAUCCCUUGUAGGUAAGGCAGCGACUGUUCUAGAAGUCUCUUACAGCAGUCCACCAUCUGUAUACUGGAAACGC